GACGAACGCUGGCGGCGCGCUUAACACAUGCAAGUCGAACGGAAAGGCCUGCUUUCCCUUGUGGAUUGCGGGUACUCGAGUGGCGAACGGGUGAGUAACACGUGAGUGAUCUGCCCCCAACUUGGGUAUAAGCCUGGGAAACUGGGUCUAAUUCCCGAUAGGACUGCAGGGUGGUGCCUGUGGUGGAAAACGAUUUUCUAGUGGCUGGGGAUGAGCUCGCGGCCUAUCAGCUUGUUGGUGGGGUAAUGGCCUACCAAGGCGGCGACGGGUAGCCGGCCUGAGAGGGUGGACGGUGACAUUGGGACUGAGAGACAGCCCAGAGCCAUACGGGAGGCAGCAGUGGGGAAUAUUGGACAAGGGGCGGAAGCCUGACGCAGCGACGCGGAGUGGGGGAUGACGGCCUUCGAGUUGUAAGCUCCUGUGGACGGCGAGGAAGCCACCUGGUUGGAAGGGUGGUGACGGUAGUGGUAGAGGAAGCACCGGCUAACUACGUG
rnacentral:rRNA from 1 species